rnacentral:rRNA from 1 species
UACGGUCGCAAGGCUGAAACUUAAAGGAAUUGGCGGGGGAGUACCACAACCGGUGGAGCCUGCGGUUUAAUUGGAUACAACGCCGGGAAUCUUACCGGAGGGGACAGCAGUAUGAAGGCCAGGCUAAAGACCUUGCCAGAUCAGCUGAGAGGAGGUGCAUGGCCGUCGCCAGUUCGUACCGUGAGGCAUCCUGUUUAGUCAGGCAACGAUCGAGACCCGCAGUCUUAUUUGCCAGCAUGCCCUUUGGGGUGUAUGGGUACAAUAAGACGACCGCCAGCGCUAAGCUGGAGGAAGGAGCGGGCUACGGUAGGUCAGCAUGCCCCGAAUCCUCCGGGAUACACGCGGGCUACAAUGGUCAGGACAAAAGGUACCGACCUCGAAAGAGUGAGGUAAUCCACAAACCUGAUCUCAGUCCGGAUCGAAGGCUGCAACUCGCCUUCGUGAAGAUGGAAUCGGUAGUAAUCGUGACUCAAAAUGUCACGGUGAAUAUGUCCCUGCUCCUUGCACACACCGCCCGUCAAACCACCCGAGUGGGGUCUGGAGGAGGUCGCUCUCUAUGAGAGCGAUCAAAUCUGGGUUCUGCAAGGGGGGUUAAGUCGUUAACAAGGUAGCCA